AACGAACGCUGGCGGCAGGCCUAACACAUGCAAGUCGAGCGCCCUUUCGGGGGAGCGGCGGACGGGUGAGUAACGCGUGGGAAUAUGCCCUUCUCUACGGAAUAGCCUCGGGAAACUGAGAGUAAUACCGUAUACGCCCUGUGGGGGAAAGAUUUAUCGGGGAAGGAUUAGCCCGCGUUGGAUUAGGUAGUUGGUGGGGUAAUGGCCUACCAAGCCGACGAUCCAUAGCUGGUUUGAGAGGAUGAUCAGCCACACUGGGACUGAGACACGGCCCAGACUCCUACGGGAGGCAGCAGUGGGGAAUCUUAGACAAUGGGGGCAACCCUGAUCUAGCCAUGCCGCGUGAGUGAUGAAGGCCUUAGGGUUGUAAAGCUCUUUCAGCUGGGAAGAUAAUGACCGUACCAGCAGAAGAAGCCCCGGCUAACUCCGUG
rnacentral:rRNA from 1 species